rfam:Blautia sp. CAG:52 genomic scaffold, scf335
AGCCCACCAAGCAUAUUGGUUAAGCCCAUACGGACAGGCGGGGCAGCUGCCGA